rnacentral:misc_RNA from 1 species
UGUGCUUGCGCACGCGUGCACCUCUGUCCUUCGGGUGCCUCCCUCUUUUCUUGUCUCACGGCAAUCCCCUCCCCCCCCCGCAUUCCCGCACUUCUUGUUCGUUUCUGUCCAUCCAUCUAUCCAGCAGCUCGGUGACGAGUAACAGCAUACGGGCACACCAACACCGACAACGUACAGACCAUCAUUACUGCCAUCAUCAGGUGCUCGUAAACAGCACACCCACACACACACACACGCACACAAGCAUACGCGGCUUGGGUGGCACCGCUUUCUCAGCGUUCUUGUGGUUACUCCCUAUAUACUCUCCGCACUCAUUGCGCUGACCUCUUAUACGCUGUCCCCCUGCUUUCUGCGCGUGUCUCUCUCGCGCACCCCCUGUCUUGCUGUACACAUGUGCUGGGUGCGCAGUGUGCCUGCGUGUUCGUUUUUCCCUCUCGAUAGUUGCGCGCAGUCGCACUAUCGAGCUGUCCUACCCUGAGAGAACAGAGGUGCUCGCUGAAAGGGGCAGGGAAACCAUCGCCGGCUCGACGACCCUCCCUUCCCCUCUACUCGCCCUUUUCUGCGACGGGCUCUCGCUCCAUGUGUGCGCGCGCGUGUGUGUGCUUUUGCAUAUCGCUGCAGCUCUCGCUCCGCCGUCUCAGCGCUGGACCACUUGUAGCGUUGCUGUUUCCUUUCUGUCGUCUGUCGCUUUAUUUCACUGCCGUUGAGGUAAGAGUGCUCGUUGCACCUGGUGCGCAAGUAGGUGUGCGCCGCCCUCCUCCCCUCCCCCUUCUGCGCGCUGGUGGGUGCGUGCUCGCUUGCCUGUAUGCCUGCACGUACCAGUGUGCGCGCCUCUCUUAUUCCUCUCGUCGCGCCCCUCUUGCGUGGUUCUUACAGCUGCUCGCGCCGUCGAGGAGAGCGUGCUCGGGUGUCUCUCCGUGAGAGAGGGUGCGCGAGAGGCGGAGGGGGGAGGGAUGCGGACACAAGACCACGCACACUCACAGACGGAGUCAACUGGCUAACCGGGGCCGAGAUAAAGGCUUUGUGUGUUUGUGUGUGUGUGCCGGGGCAUCGGUGCAGUGCCCGCUCUGCAACGCCCCCCCUUUUCGCUCCCUAACACACCUCACGCCUUGUCGCGCUUCUUACCGACGUACCACGCGCGCACACGCACUCGACAGUCAAGGCAGCAUGCUGCCCUCACCGAACGGGCCAAGCUCAUCCUAUACGUGGAUGUCGGCCCACACGGUCGCGCGUGGCAAUCGCGGCUGCGGUGAGGAAUUUCCCCUCCUCCCUAAACCCGGGUCGAGAGCGUCCAUGUGCCGCUUGACGCAGUCGGCGCCACGCACCGAGUCCGCCGUUCCUGCCGCGACGACCUCGUCGUCGAACCUUUUCCCCCACGUCGCUGUGUCGUCACUCUUGGUCGGCGACUCUUUAAAAGGCGGCGGAAGCACCUUUGGUGAUGGCGGCAGCGGCAGCGACGGAAACGGCAGCGCCGGCGGCUCCAGCGAUGCCAACGGAGGCGCGGGUGGCGGCAAUGGUGGCCUUGCGUUUGGUGCUGCACCGGCGUCGCUCUCCGAGUUCCUCCGCAUCUUCGCGUAUGCUGUCCGCCUGCAGUCGUGGGCGAGUUGGCUGCUGGCUGUCGUGUUUCAUCUUUUCCAUCUGCUGCUCAUUCUUUCCUUCUGGAGCAGUCCGAUCCUCUACCGCUCCACCUUCUUCUCCCAGUCGAUGGCGAAGUCGCUGCUCGAGGCGCAGAGCGUCAGACAACACAGAAGGGGCAGCGAUGGGUGUAGCAACAACGGCAGAACAAGACUGAGCGCCGCUGCGGGGAAGGGUCCGAGCGGCGCGGAGGCGGCUGCCCUGCUGCGCUCCAGCGAAUCGCCAGCGCCGGUCUCCGUCGAGAGCGUGUGGGCUAUUCACGACUCCGUCUUUUUCCUUGAGGAGGGCCGUGCCGUGAUGCCCACGGCGAUAGCGAGCAGCUUCUCCAGCCUGGGGGGCAAGAAUCACCACGGCGGCACCACCAGAAGUACUUCGUAUGCUGGUCGGGACGUGCGCGACAGUGACGACGCCGACCAUAGCACUGGCAAUGAUGCGAUAGACAGCAUGAGUCAGGGCAAGCCCCGCGGCAGCCCGCACACGUGCAUUCUGUCGCACAAGCCCGGCGGCGAUGCCGGUCGCAGGGGUGGUGCGCAGAAGACGGUUGUGUCCGCGACUGCAGUCUCUACGCUGCGCGAGGCGACUGGCGCCGCCGCCAUCGGCCAGAGCAAUCAGCUGCGGCCGACGGUGUCAUGGGAUUUGUGUAGCAAGGACGAAGACCGCCACCGUGCUGCCGCGACGAGUGACGGCCCUGGGCUGCUGCGCUGGUUUGCAGGGUCUCCUCCCGUCGCGCCGGAGCACACUCUGUCGCAGCGCAAGAAUCUCAGUCACGGGCUAGUCGCGCUGUCGCAGAUCAUCGACGCGUGGGCGGCGUCUCCGCUAUAUUCGUCUCCGCUGGCCCUGGCCCUGCUUUACCACCUCUACGGCGUCGCCUGUGUCAUCCUGCUGCUGACCGUGACGGACGGCAUGCUCACCGGGCACUUUUCCGCGCUGCGACUCUGCAUCGCCCUUGCUGAGCUGCUUUGGUACAUUCGCCACGGCGCGCACGCUUUCCUUAUCUACUGCUGGAUGCUCGUGCUGUCGCACUGGCCGCAUCGCACAAUGUGCUCCGCCGACGACGCGGCGUUUCUUCAGCAGGGCACGCCGUACGCGGUGGUGACCAAGAGGAGGGGACAGGUGUCCAUGUUUUGGUUUUAUAGAGCCGCCUUGGCCGUCGACGGGGGUGCCGAGGGCGGCGGCGGUCACGGAGGCGCUGGCAAGUUGCUUGUGGAUGAGAUCAACCUUCCGUACUAUCUCUAUGAUCAAGUGUGGUACCUCAAGCCGCUCGCCGAAGGCAUCGAGGUCUUCUACGUCUGCCUCCUGCUGCUGUGCCUCGUGAAGGAUUUUCACCGAGUGCUGGACGCCGUCGUUGGCGUGCGCGAGCUUAUGGAGCCCGAGGGGUGUGUGCGCUGCCCCCUCUGCGGUGAGUUGAUGGUGUUGUACGAGCAGCGCAGCCUCUUGCGGGCCAACUCUAUCUACGAACCCGCCCGCGGCUGCAUAUCAUGGUCCGGUUGGCGGAUGAGGUGGUGGUGGCGUUGGCUACGCAGCCCCGUGCAAGGCAGCUGCAGCGGCCACCGUGUACCCACACCACCUCUGCCGAGUCCUCUCUGGCGCUGGCUCUUGCCGGCGCGGCUCGGCGGAGGCCCGCUGAAGACGCCGCUGGCGGUCUCCGCGACCGCUGGCGCACCCACGGAUGACGGUGACGCCUCCCUCACACCGGGUAUGGGCGACGAGACCACCUUCACACUCGCCGAAAUUCUCGAGGAUGUCGAGUUCUACGAGCAGUCAGCUGUUCGUCGCAGCGCGGCGGCCCCGCAGGAUACCACCACGGAGGCGACGGCGCAUCUCACGCAGUGGCUGAGGGCGAUGCCAUGCGCGGCACGGUCGCCGAUCGUACGAGUGCAGGACGGCGAGCAUAGUCGCAGCAGAGCCCGCAAUGGCGGCUUCUCAGCUGAGCAGGACGAGGAGAACGCCGCGGCAACGGCGGGCGCGCUGGCGCUCGGGUUGUCGGCCUCUUCGUCGUCUGAAGAGUGUGUGAGCGCGGGGCUGGUGACGGUAGCGCCCGCCGCCGCGCCCGCAACGCCUGACAUGGGCGCUGCUACAGCACCGGCACACGGUGCUCUGACUGCGUUCGCCAAGGCAGGGCCUCCGAACCCCUCGCCGACCCAUUUGGUCGCGUCUUCCAUCCCCGCCAGUCCCACUCGUCGUCGACACGGCCGCCGCUCACAAGGCCGUUUGCAGAGGUCGUUGAACAGCAGCCAACAGUCGAUGACGCCGCGGAAGCGCCUGCAGCGUCGGACUCGAUUCACGGAGGAGGUGCUGUACUGGAACCGUGCCACGCGGCACGUGCAUCACCGGUGCCCAAGACUCUACUUGGAUGCACAAGAGGCGACCGACGAUGAAGACGAUGACGGCAGCGACGGCGGCAGCGCCUCGUGUGAAUGCAGCAGCGAAGCUUCUUCAGCGACGUCCUCCACUGCGGCCACGCCGACGUCCGGUUCACUUACUCGGCCGGCGACUACCGCAUCGGCGCGCGCGCACGCCGUCAACCCUCUGACGGCAGUUGACUAUGCGAACUUCCACCAAGGCGUGCUGCACCGCUCCCUCUCUCCGCGCGCUGGGCCGGGUGGCAGGGCCGCUGGGACCGGGCGUUUCUACAUGCCCCAGCUCUCUGCUGAGCUGGACGAGCCAUCGCGCGUGCAAGAGAAGCGGCUCCAGCAGCAGUCGCAGCAGUGCACAGCCAGCCAUCAAGGCACCUCUGCGGCAGAUGACUCGACGCACCAGCGUAACGAUCGGAUCAUCGGCCCGGACUUCUCGGAGGCACCGUCCAAGCUCUUUGCACAGGGUCCGCCACCACAGUCGGCUGCUAAACACAUAGUGGAGCGCGGCCUGUACGACCCCAACAAGGCCGGCGAGGACGAGUUCAGGCCCGGCAACGCCUUUCAGUCGUACGAUCGUGCAGGGUAUCUGUCGCGGCUCACCCAUAGUUGGCUGAACCCGUUGCUAAAGUUCGGGCUGCUGGAGCCGACACUGCUGCGACAGGAGCGCUUCUUGCCCUCGCUGCCGGAGGAACUGCUGUCACUGGACAACAUUGCGAUGCCGGCGUGGCGUUUGUGGGUUUAUCGAAAGGUGUGGUUCGCCGCCUACGUGGCGAAGCCGGGGGAGCUGCUCAUUCCCGGCAACGAAGCUAUGAAUCGCGCCGAGGAGGAGCUGAUGUCGCUUGCCCACCUGCACGAAGCCGACCGCAGUGAGAGCGGCGAGGAGACGGAGAGCUUGGACGGCAGGCAGACCGCUGUAAUGCUCGGCCAUACUUCGUUUAAGCAGGCAGCCAAGUUUCGUCCGCAGCGGCCGCGCCGGUGCUGGCAGGAGAGUCUCUUGUGGGCUCUCUCCGCGCCGGUACGGUGCAUCCUCGUGACACUUUUCUAUCACGUAUACAUUGGCACAUCGCGCACGGUGCGCCGCACACGGCGGCGUCUCGCUCGCGAACUGCUGAAGGACCGCCUUAGCACCGCCGCCGAGAACCUGUACGACCCCAACGGCUAUCAGACUGUGGAGUCGAGCGAAGCGAUAGAGGAGGCGACGUGGGCGCUGACCGAAGUGGCGUCCUCGUGCGGCAGCAGCGCUGCUGCGCCAUCAGUGGGCUCCGCUCUGCCGACCCACAUGCGCCGGCAGCUCGCCCUGAGUGAUGUGAGCCUGUACUACCUCUUCCUGGAGCACCGCUGCGGCCGCCGCUUUCUGCUCGUCGCGGCACCUCUGCUGCUGCUAAGUGAGCUGCUGACCGUGGCGGUGGUGCCCGUGCUUGAGCUGCUCACUAUGUGCCUGCAGCGCGUGGAUUCCGACAUGGUGCCGCACCGCCGCGAGGCCCCGAGCGAUCAAAGCAGCGUGACGGAGGCUCUUCUGUGUGCCAACCUGUUGGGGGUGCUGCUGCUGCUGCAAGGUGUGGUGCACAGCGCCUACGUGGGCCAGGCGCAGCAGGCCGCAAUGGAGGCGCGUACGUGCGUCUGUGCGGUAGUGCUGGAGAAGACGCUGGCGCUCCCCCUCGCGCAGCGCACCUUCACGGAGGCAGAAGUGGUGGCUUUGGCCACUGAGGAGGCGAUGCGUGUCGCGACGUGCUUGAGGUCGCUGCAUCUGACCUGGUCCUGCCCGCUGCGAGUGGCACUUCUGUUGCUGCUGCUCGCCAACUAUGUAGGCUGGGUGGCCGCCGCAGUGGCCGGUGCCGGUUCGCUCCUCACCGUGCCGCUCUUGCGCCACUCUUCGCGCGAGGUGCGGCAGAGGCGGCACGAGGCGCGGGAGACAGCAGCGCCACGCAUCGCCCUGCUGCAGCGCGCUCUGAGGCACAUUCGCAAAGUCAAGGCCAUGUUGCUGGAAGGGCGUCUGGCUCACUGGCUGCGGAAGGCGCGUGCGACAGAGGCCUCCCGCGCUGAGGCGGUGGCGAUGGCGGAGGGCACGGCCGGCAUGUUGGCCGGCGGCGUGGAGUGUCUGCUGAUGGUGGCCGCCCUCGGCGCCGAGUGCGUCCUCUCCGCCAAGGAACUGCGAGACAUGGACGUGCAGGUACCCGCGCUUGCCAUCUUCGUGCUGCUGACGAUGCCGCUGCUGGAGGUGCCGGCGCUUUUCAGCGUGGUGGCACGCGGCUUUCUCGCGAUGAAGCGCAUCGAGGCGUACCUGCGGCAGAGGCCCGACGAGUUUGCCGGCACUUGGGUGGAUCUGACCAGCUUCACGGCGACGCAGCAGCAACUGCGCGUGGAAAACCCCGGCAGCACGCUGCUUAACUACCGCCGUGGCAGCGUGGUGUGCCGCAACUCGUUUUUCACGUGGCAGCAUGACCUGACCGAAGAGCCGCCGUCGGCGCUCUUGCGUGACGUCGACUUCUGCAUCCGUCCUGGCCAGUUGGUCGUCGUGCAGGGCUCCAUGGGGGCUGGCAAGAGCACCCUGCUCUUGUCCAUCCUCGGCGAGGUGAAUCUGUUUGUGUCGUCAGGGUGCUCGACGAACGGCAGCUCGACGAGAUACAGGUCGGAGAAAACGUUGUCCGUCGUGUCCGCCACCGAGGCAGCGGCGCUGGCGCCGGUAUACACCGGCGGCGCCCCUGGCGCCGUGGGGGACGGCAACCGGCGCGACCCCGGCCCCGCCGCUGCGGCGGCCUGCCCCCCGGCUUUCCCUACGCCACCGAGCAACAGCAUCAGUCUAGCCGACGCCGCCGCACUUGGCAUUUUUGUGGCGUCGCCGAUGGACUCCGCCGAGGCAAGGCGGUGCGUCAGCGCGGAGCAGACGCUUUCGGCUGUACCCGGCGCUGAUGCAGCAGCGGCGCAGAGGGCGCUGGCCGGCAUCGCCUCGACAGCUGCUGCCGCGGCUGCUGCGGCCAAGACUUUCAUGGCAGCAGGCGGUGCGUCGCCGGGUGGCUACGCUCGAAGCGAGGCGUCGAAGUUGUCUGCCCGUAGCCUCGCUGACGAUCGCGCCAGUGUGUGCUCGGUUACCACUAAGAACGCCUCACAGCUUAGCCCCACCGGCCUGGAAGGCGACGACAGCAGCACUGGCGGCUUCCUCGUCUUCGGAUCCUGCGCCUACUGUGCCGAGGUACCUUGGCUGCAGAACGACACCAUCCGCGCCAACAUCGUGCCCGGUGGUGGCCCGGUGCUGGAGCGUUGGUACUGCGCGGUGCUGCGUGCGUGCGCGCUGAGCGCGGAGGUGACGGCGCUGCCGCACGGUGACGCGACCGUAAUUGGCGAGAGAGGGGAGCUGCUGUCGCUAAGCAUGCGCUGCCGCAUCGCCAUCGCGCGGGCCGUGUACUCCAAGUCGCACGUGUAUCUCAUGGACAGCGUCCUCUCGCCACUGGAGCCUGCCAUUCAGGAGCACAUUAUCCGCGAGGUGUUCCACAGGCUACUGCGCAAGAAGACGAUUGUUUUGGCCAGCAACGUCGGACUGCGAUCGCUGCGGCCGCAUCGCGUUUUCAGCGUCGUGAAUGGUGUCGUGCGGGAGGACACCGACUUGUACACGGCCGUCUCCUCUCUGCAUGCCCGCGGUGACGAGGAUGACGAGGAGGCACUGAUGCAGCGACAGGCAAGCGACUGCGGUGGCACUGCGGCCGACGGUGAUGAUGGUGGUCUGUUGAAGCGCGAUAGCAGUGCGAGCCAGGCCAUGACCCCGCCGCUGCCAGCACUCUAUGCCGAGGAGUUCGAGGAGCCGCAGGAGGCGGCCGAGGCGGAGACGUUGGUGAAGGUGUUUGUCGACGACCCUGCGGUCGCGGCUACCACGGUGCUGUUCGACGGCGACGCGGGCUUUGGUCCGCGCGAUCCACGGCUGCUCGGCGAGCUUGUCGAUCGCCUAGACGCCGGCAUCUCUGGCGAUGACGUGUCGUUGGCGGGCUCGGCGCUGCUGGCCGGCGCGGAGGGGGGUUUUGGCAACAGCGCCGCUCUACGCCCCCGCCGCUCCCGCUCCUCGUGCCCACGCCUGCCGCGGCGCUUUAAAACCGGCCGCAGCGGAGCCGCUUCGGGCGCGGAGACGCCGCCCAAGGAGGUCCCGCUGCCGGGGACCGUGACGACCAACGUGGCGAGCUGCCAGCCGUCGCCCUACUUGAAGGCGCCCACCGCAGCACCGUCACACCCUGCUGCCGAUCCCGGAGCGCCGCUCCACGGCGUUAACGUGGACGGCACUGGCUGCGCCAGCGACUGUAGCGAGCAAGGCAGCAGCGCCAGCGCCGGGAGUGGCAGCAACAGCACCUGCUCCAACGAUCCGUGCAUGAGCAGCCACUACGCCCAGCUACUGCGGCGCGAGCCUCCUCUGCGCCGCCGCCACCGCCUCUUCCUCUUCAUUUUCUUGCGCUUCAUGGGUGGGCAGGUGACGUGGGUGUUGUUGACAGCGCUCCUCCAGCAGGGCAUCUCUCUGUGCGUCGAUAUUUGGACUGCAGCGUGGCUGGCGGUAAUGGCGGCGCACACGACGCGUUCCGCAGUCAGCGCAACGAGGGCAGCCGUAGUAGGCCGGUCGUUCUCGUCUCGAGUGGCAGAGCAGCUGUACACGUGGGCCGCCGUCAGCGACCUCGCUUUCGUUGGUGUGUUGUCUGCGUUGUGUCUCUUGGCGAUGCUGCUCACGCUGCUCCGCGCCCGCGCGGUGUACGUCGGGGCGUACGGGACGAUGCAUUUCAUCUACAACCAGAUUGCAUGUCGUGUGCUGCACUCGCCAGCCUCUUAUUUCGACAGUCGCAUCAUCGCGCUCGUGACGCGCGUGCUGCGCGACGACGGCGAGGUUGCCGAGUACCGCGUUCUGUCCACGGCGGAGACACUGCUGAGCUGCGGUGCGCAGGUGGUGCUGGUCGCACUGUGGAAUGCUUUCGUGAACCCCGUUUUUAUACUGCUGCUGCCGAUGGCCGUGUCCAUCUUCUACCACAUCUCGCAGCGCCACGCGGUGGUGCUGCGCGAGGUGCGCCGGCUGGAGCUUGGCUCGGUGAAUGGCAUGACCAACAUCCUGCGUGAGGUGUAUGAGGGCGCACCCACGGUGCGCUGCAUGGCUCUGCAGGACCGACUGCGCGAGGAAUUCUGCCGUGCGCUGGAUACGGCCAACACGGCCUCCAUGGUGGCCUACCUGACGGAUUGCUGGGUGGAGCUGCGACUGCAUGUGCUCGCCACCCUCGCCGUGUACAUAGCUGCCACGGUCGGCGUCAUCUUCACGUUCUCCUACUCACAUCCAAGCUUCACGGCAGUGGCCGUGAUCGCUUGCCUGCGGGCCGGACCGGUGCUGACGGUGAUGUGCCGCAGCCUCGGCGCCUUCACGGCGAAAGAGUGGAUCUCGGUACAGCGGCUCAUGAGCCUGUGGGGCGCGCCCCAGGAGCCGCUCACCCUCGUCGGCGAGGCGGACCUUUAUACCUACAGCCACGUCCGUCGCAAGGCGACAGGGCCGUUUGUGCUGGAGGGUGGAGAUGACGCCCCCUUGCUCAAGAAUGUGAGGUCGCCGACGGCGUCGCCCAUGAUGGGGCAAGGGGUUCGCUCCCGGCAGCGUGAGGCUCGCCAAGAUGCGAAGGCGGAGCGGUGCCGUCUGCGCCACGAGCAACAGAACCGGCAGCGACUGCGACGACAGCAGCUGGGGCCGGCCGGCGGUGAGGACGGCCCGGCUGAGUCGCAUGCCCCCGCAUCGCUCUCCGUAUUCACCGAUGACUCUUCGCCGUCCUCAUCGUCCAGGGAGCGGAGGGCCACUGGUGCUCCAGGCGACUCUUGCGCUACUACGCUUCCUCUGCUAGAGCUGAUUAACGUCUCGGCGCGGUAUCGCGCCACGCUGCCGUACGUCCUGCGCCACGUGAACCUGGCCGUCUUUCCAGGCGAGCGCCUUGGUGUGGUGGGCCACGCCGGACAAGGUAAGAGAUCCAUCUUCAACGUGCUGCUACGCCUGGUGGACGUGAUCGAAGGCGGCGGCGUCUUCGUGGACGGCGAGGACGCCGCGCGAAUACCAUACCCCAUUCUUCGCAGCUGGUUUGGCCUUCUGUCACAGGAGCCACUUCUCGUGCAGGGGUCGUGGCGCAGCAACCUCCUCCUCGGCUACCAUUUCGCUCACUGCAUGCUGAUGGACGGCGCCAACGGCGGCGCUGACCAUCUUUUCCUACCAACCACGACGCUCGCCUGUCAGCAGCUGCAGGCAGACGCACGUCCAACAUCGAGGGCCGCCGCGGCGGUCACCGCACAGCUGGCAGCGGCGGCUGGGGAGCGCGAGCCUCUGCUGCAACGAGGCGCUACUGCUCACACUCGCGGUGGCACCGGGGCUGCUGCUGGACCAGAGGACAGCAGGGCAUCUGUCUCCGCGGCGGAGAACAGCUACGGUAGCACCGACAGUGCUCAGCCAUACAUGCAAGCCGGAGGCGGCGAACGCGCUCACGUGGGGUUUAUGCACACCACAGCCGACUUUGCUUUCAGAGACCAACGCCGCACCUCGGAGGAUGGCGGUAGCCGUGGCGGUGACUGUGGCGUCGCCUCCAUGGCGGGCGCAGCAGCUCGACGGCUCCGCGACAGCCUCACAUCCUUCCAGCGCUGCCUCAGACGCAGAAACAACAGCGACUACAACGAGCACAUCCUGCCGGGGAGUGCCGGUGGAGGUGACGGACGUCGCCGCUGCCGCAGUAGCUGUGACACGGCCAGCAACGAAAGCCAUCCACACCACCUUCACGGGCAUGCGGUUAAGGGGCUGCGGCAGCCUGUGGAGGACGCUGUGCUGUGGGAAGCGCUGCGGGCCGUUGGACUCGAUGCUGCAGUGGAGUUGAGCGGCGGCCUUGAUGCCCCGCUCGUCGGCGACGACCUGGCUGAGACGGGCCUGACGGAUUCGCAGUGCCGUCUUCUCUGCCUCGCGCGUGUGGUGCUGAGGAGGCCACCGAUUGUGCUCCUGGAAGACGCCGUUCACUCCGGCGCUGAGGCGCAGACGGACUUCGCCAUUCACCGCGUCUUGGCGAAUGAGCUGCGCGAGUCGACGGUGUUGAUCAUUGCCCACCGCAUGUCCACUCUGCUAAACCUCUGCACGCGUGUCGUGGCGGUGCAGGGAGGGACGUUGAUGCCUAUCGCUGACCUGGGGCCAACACUAGCGUCAGCGGUCACGGCGGAUGCUCCAGGGGCAGGCGACGAGACUCGGUACGCGGCUGCCAUGCGCCCGGCAACGGCGGUACUGGAUCCGGUCGUGCUAAAGCAGCUCUCCCACCAUCUAGAGUAGCCGCGAGUCGGUAAUCUGCCGUUUGUGUUGAAGCCUAGCAUGGCGGUGGGGCCGACCGAGGGGGCGUGACCACUCCAUACCCGCGCACACCCGCCGACCUAACUGGACAGGAGCGCAUGCUCGUCCUCGUUCAUGUGAAGUUUGGCGCACUUGGACGGCUGUCGGGGUGCUCACUGCAUCGAUGAGAAAAGACGACACACACACACGCACAAGCACAAGCACGCACAGCACCGAGAUGGAAGGCGUGGUGGUGUAUGUUGCAGACACGAGCGUGCAGAUGACGUCAUCGAAUGCCCCGAACAGCCGAUGCCGAUGAAGAGAGACAGCGAUCGGUGGCGUGGGUGGGGAGAGUUGAGGUAAGUACACCGAUGCCUGUACUGCUGCUGCUUCUGUUUUCGAAUAUAGACGAUCAUCUAUCGUCCCCGGCCACCGCCACUCCUCUUUCCCUCGCGAGGCACGUGUGGCGUGAAGGUAAUAGUUUCCGUGACGUUUACAGCGCUGCCACUUAACCACGCGCAUAUUAGCAGCC